GACACGGUGACCACCUGACCCGAGCACCGGGCCGCCCAACCGUAUUUUUGUCCCGGACUCCUGUCCGUUGUCAACUGUCACCCUGGCAUCAGUCGGACGCUAGCUUUCCUACGCCAGCGGUGCUGGUGGCCCACCAUGGUCCCUGACACCCGGGCAUUCAUCGCAGCUUGCCCCACCUGUGUUCGGAACAAGACCACCAAUAGGCCCCACUCCUGCCUCCUUCACCCUCUACCCAUUCCUCCUCGGCCCUGGUCUCACAUUGCCGUGGACUUCGUCACCGGUCUCCCCGCCUCUUACGGUUUGGCGCGCAGGUUUCUGGGCAGCUCUGGGAGCCACCACUAGCCUCUCUUCAGGUUACCACCCACCGUCCAAUGAACGAAUCAAGAGAUGGAGGCCAUGCUGCACUGCGUCACCUCUUCCAACCCUUCGUCCUGGAGCACCCAAUUACCAUGGCCCACAACUCCCUCUCUAGUGCCUCUACAGGCCGGUCUCCGUUCCAAUGCUCCCUGGGUUACCACCCCCCCUAUCCCCACCCUCUAUGAUGAAAUGACCCUGAUUGGGAUCCUAACUAUGUUUAUGUAGAAAAGCUUGGGUCAGGCUCCAGAACUCUACUAGGCCUUCUCGUGCUGACAGCUCAUUGGCCAGUGUAACAAUACGCCUUGGUGUACCGCUCACACUAGAAGAGCUACGACGACAGUAUCAAACUUUAAAUACGUUUGAAAAUAAUCAGGACCUAGCAGACUGAAUCGGCAAGACAGGGAUGCAACUAUUGGGACUUGUUGACCUUCUAGUCAGGCAGACACUGUAAGAAUUGGGCCUUUUAGUAACCCGAUUUGUCACAGACUAUAUUUUAAGAUUGGAAGCCUAAUUGCUUCUUGUUUGGCAUGCAGUGUGAGGGGGUUUAUGAUACCCGAAUAAUGGCCUGAGCGAGCCACGAUUUAGAAAUUGGACUGUACGAAUGUGCGUCAACUAAUUUCACCCCGUAGUCGAGGCAUAUUGCUUGUCGUUUUACGUGCAGUUCAAAGGUGGUAACGAUGCUCCGAUUCAUUUCUUCAGCCAGCUACGAGUAAUCGGAGGUAUUUCUGAGAGUCUCAUGAUCUGAUUUCCUGAAAGUUCUUGUGCGCUUGUGCAUACCAACAAACCCAAUGCGGGAAUGAAGCGCAAACACAGACAGUUCCGUCAACAGGGGAACUUUCUCUACAAAACAAAAAUACCAUUUGUCGAUGUCUGUACAGUCAUUAGCGGUUCCAUAUUUGUACUGGCCUUAGCUAGAUCUGACAGGACCCUCUAGUCAUGUGCCCCUAUCAGCUGACGACUAACGCUGUCCAAUCAAACACACGUACACUGAUAAGUGGCCAUUUUAAGACCUUCCAUCUCAAACUCUCACUCUGCGGAAGUUAGGUAGGCUGAGCCGAAUUUGGCCUACCCCCACCCCAGCCUCCCCCUGCUUUGGUUCUACUCUGUCUGUAAUGUGACCUAUACGAUGGGUUGAGAUAAGUGUAUUUACAUCCAGGCUUACUAGCGGCCAGAUCAAUGCAUUGUCAUGGUGUCCUUUCUCGUUGAUUUGAUUUUUUGUUGUAAUUGGAACCCAUCAAUAGAUGCACAAUUGGGAGCAUGUGGUCUCUAAAAAUUGGAAAAUUGGGUUUAUGUUUGCCCGAUAUUAAAAGACGCUUUUAUAUAGAAACCAUAUUUUUUAUUGUUUAAAACAAUGCAAGCAUUCAUACAAAUCAAUGUGUUUAAAACUGUUAAAAUACAAGCAUCAUUUUAAAGUUACUGUUCCAUGUACAUCUUCAAUCAGUAUGUUAACAUAUUAUUAACUCUCUAUGACCUAAUCAACAAAUGUUCAUGAACUUAAAGUGCUACCCAUGACUGUUUCAAAGCCUUGACGACACUAGUAAACAAAUACAUAAAUGAAAGUCACACCGACACAACUCUGAAAUAUACAAUCAUAUGAAAUACAGUAGCUUGUGUCCAAGCUGUACUUCUGCUAGAUUAUAUUUGUUCUAAAUUAGUGUAAUCAUCUCUCUAAAGUGCUUUAGCUACAAUCUUACAGUGCAUUGCAAGAGGUGCCUGUGCCUGCAUGUGAAGUUUGUGAAUAACUGACUUUCUGUAAGGUUUUUCUGUAGUGCUUCCUGUGUGUACGACAUGGUUUUAGCUGCAUUAGUUCUUGACAGAAAUCCAAGUAAAUCAUUUCAAUGCAUUCUACACAUUCCAACGCCAUACAAACUAGCCAAGGUCUCUAGCAU